rnacentral:rRNA from 1 species
UAGGGAAUCUUCCGCAAUGGGCGAAAGCCUGACGGAGCAACGCCGCGUGAGUGAUGAAGGUCUUCGGAUCGUAAAACUCUGUUAUCAGGGAAGAACAAAUGUGUAAGUAACUGUGCACAUCUUGACGGUACCUGAUAAGAAAGCCACGGCUAACUACGUGCCAGCAGCCGCGGUAAUACGUAGGGGGCCAGCGUUAUCCGGCAUUAUUGGGCGUAAAGCGCGCGUAGGCGGGUUUUUAAUUCUGAUGUG